UACGUAGGGUGCGAGCGUUAAUCGGAAUUACUGGGCGUAAAGCGUGCGUAGGCGGUUCCUCAAGGCCGUUGUGAAAGCCCCGGGCUCAACCUGGGAAUGGCAGUGGAAACUAGGGGACUGGAAUCUGGCAGAGGGGGGUGGAAUGCCGCGUGUAGCAGUGAAAUGCGUAGAGAUGCGGCGGAACACCGAUGGCGAAGGCAGCCCCCUGGGCUGAGAUUGACGCUCAGGCACGAAAGCGUGGGGAGCAAACAGG
rnacentral:rRNA from 1 species